GACGAACCGUGCGAACGUUGUUCGGAAUCACUGGGCUUAAAGGGCGCGUAGGCGGGCCUCCAAGUCCGGGGUGAAAUCCUCCAGCCUAACUGGAGAAGAGCCUCGGAGACUGGGGGCCUCGAGGAGGGUAGGGGCAAGCGGAACUAUGGGUGGAGCGGUGAAAUGCAUUGAUAUUCAUAGGAACUCCGGUGGCGAAGGCGGCUUGCUGGACCCUUUCUGACGCUGAGGCGCGAAAGCCAGGGGAGCAAACGGG
rnacentral:rRNA from 1 species